rnacentral:hammerhead_ribozyme from 1 species
AUCUGCUGAGGAGUCCCAUACUAGGACGAAACGGCCGUCCAGUGU